GUUGUAUGUGGAGGAUGAGGGCUGCAGUAGAUAUCUCAGAUAGGGAGGAGUGAACGGGUGUUGUAUGUGGAGGAUGAGGGCUGCAGUAGAUAUCUCAGAUAGGGGGGAGUGAACGGGUGUUGUAUGUGGAGGAUGAGGGCUGCAGUAGAUAUCUCAGAUAGGGGGGAGUGAACGGGUGUUGUAUGUGGAGGAUGAGGGCUGCAGUAGAUAUCUCAGAUAGGGGGGAGUGAACGGGUGUUGUAUGUGGAGGAU
rnacentral:lncRNA from 1 species